CUCAGUCAGAUACACUGUCAAGUAUUCAGUCAGCAGCUCAAACUCUGAGAAGAAAUCAAGCCAAACUACAGCAGCAGCUCCUACACAAGGUCCAGCUGACACAGCAUCAGAAACUGAAGUCAGUGUGACUGCUGGAUCAUUAUUCAGAGGUACGACACGUUCAUUUCUACUGACAGCUUUACACCAUUAAACUAUCAGUCAGUCUGUAAAUGCUUCAUCAAUAACUGUUCAUAGACUUCAGUCAUGUCCAGUUUCUC